CCCUCGUCCAACAGAUCGCCAUUCGAAGCUCACAAACAGAGACACUCUCUGAGCGUCUCAACCCUCUUGCUUUGGGAGAAAGUCCCCGGACACGUCUUCUCCUCACGGAAGGACAUUGCGGAAACGCGCCGCCACAGAAGCACUGCGGCUGACCUCCCGGCCCUGUCCUCAGUCUGUCCUCCUCUGCCCUGCCCCGCCGCUACAUCGGUCAAACUUCCUCGCUCGGAGUCUAGUCGGGUAGCCUUGAGACCUCAUGGACGAAGAUAUGAGUCCGCGCUCUUGGCCGCUUGAUCGGAUCCUCCGUGACAGGAAGGUCUGUUCGAUGGCGGGGUAGCCGUGGGUGUCGAUGCGUGCUGUGGGCAUCAAGGGGCCUGGGAGGGUUUUUCGUCGAGCACGAUAGAUAUGCGAUCGCCUGGCCUCACCAGCUUGGAGUACUCGAUGGGGCUCAUUCUUGGCGCGAGG
rnacentral:RNase_MRP_RNA from 2 species